UACGAAGGGGGCUAGCGUUGCUCGGAAUUACUGGGCGUAAAGCGCGUGUAGGCGGUUGCCAAAGUCGGGUGUGAAAGCCUUGAGCUCAACUCAAGAAAUGCACUCGAUACUUGGUGACUAGAGGACCGGAGAGGAUAGUGGAAUUCCCAGUGUAGUGGUGAAAUACGUAGAGAUUGGGAAGAACACCAGUGGCGAAGGCGGCUAUCUGGACGGUUUCUGACGCUAAGACGCGAAAGCGUGGGGAGCAAACAGG
rnacentral:rRNA from 1 species